AUUGAACGCUGGCGGCAUGCCUUACACAUGCAAGUCGAACGGCAGCACGGGUGCUUGCACCUGGUGGCGAGUGGCGAACGGGUGAGUAAUACAUCGGAACGUACCUUAUCGUGGGGGAUAACGCAGCGAAAGCUGUGCUAAUACCGCAUAAGCCCUGAGGGGGAAAGCGGGGGAUCGAAAGACCUCGCGCGAUUAGAGCGGCCGAUGCCUGAUUAGCUUGUUGGGGGGGUAAAAGCCCACCAAGGCGACGAUCAGUAGCUGGUCUGAGGACGAUCAGCCACACUGGGACUGAGACACGGCCCAGACUCCUACGGGAGGCAGCAGUGGGGAAUUUUGGACAAUGGGGGCAACCCUGAUCCAGCAAUGCCGCGUGAGUGAAGAAGGCCUUCGGGUCGUAAAGCUCUUUUGUCAGGGAAGAAACACCGGCUCUAACACAGUCCGGGAAUGACGGUACCUGAAGAAUAAGCACCGGCUAACUACGUGCCAGCCGCCGCGGUAA
rnacentral:rRNA from 1 species